GACGUAGGGCGCGAGCGUUGUCCGGAUUUAUUGGGCGUAAAGAGCUGCGUAGGCGGUUUGUCGCGUCUGCCGUGAAAGUCCGGGGCUCAACUCCGGAUCUGCGGUGGGUACGGGCAGACUAGAGUGAUGUAGGGGAGACUGGAAUUCCUGGUGUAGCGGUGAAAUGCGCAGAUAUCAGGAGGAACACCGAUGGCGAAGGCAGGUCUCUGGGCAUUAACUGACGCUGAGGAGCGAAAGCAUGGGGAGCGAACAGG
rnacentral:rRNA from 1 species